GCGGGCUUCACCGCGUGGGCGCGGCAGUCGCCACUCACCGAGGUUGACGACCUUGAGCGCCGUGAAGAAGCGGUUCUGCCGGGCCAGGUCCUGCCAGGGAGCCUUGGAGCAGUGGUACUUGAUGAAGGGGAAGCAGCCGGCGUGGGUUCUCACUAUGUUGCUUAAGCUGGUCCAGAACUCAAGCCAGUCUCUCACUUCAGCCUCUUGAGUCGUUGGGAUUACAGAAGCCACCAUGUCCAACUGCUGAUCUUGAACUCCUGGGCUCAAGCGAUCCUCCCACCUCGGCCUCCCAAUGUGUUGGGAUUACAGGCGUGAGUUGCGGCGCCCAGCUGAUAUGUAUACUUUUCUAUAGGU
rnacentral:lncRNA from 1 species